UCUGUCACUUGAAUUAUCUUCGGGAGUGUGGAUAUUUCUAAGAUCAUCUUCAAAUGUUUGAGCGAUCAUUUUCAGACGAUGUUAGAAAUGUCCACACUUCCAGGUGGUAAUUCAUGUCGACAGA